AUAGGUCUAAUUUAAUUCUUAAAGCCCAUUAGUAAAUAAAUAUAUGGUCUUUGGGAUUUAUUACGAUUAUUGUAAAUGGGCUUUGACGUAAGAGAUUUAUUAUUUUCAGAAUUAAUUAUUUUCAUGGAUAAAAUAAUUCUAUAAAAGUCCAGAAUUGGUAGUUAAGCCAAAAAAAAUACUCCGAAAGCUCUGAAAAUUCGGGAAAAAUUCUCAGAGAUAUUAUAGAACAUGUGGAACCCAAAUAAAGUAUUUGGAGAUCAUGAUGAGAUAAUAUGGAGCAUCUAAAAAUUAGAUUAUGCUCACAGAAGUGAGAACAAGUUCCAGAAAAAGCUGGAAAAUUUCCAAGAAGAUCGCAGAUAGUGUUUGAUGAACGAGGAACUAAGUGAUUUGGUUACAAAGGAAUAAUUUUAGGAAGCUCCUAAUAAAAACUUGAGCUGAGAAAUAAAAAAAAAUUGGUUG
rnacentral:lncRNA from 1 species